CGUGAGCGGCGGACGGGUGAGUAACGCGUGGGUAACCUGCCUCAUACAGGGGGAGAACAGUUGGAAACGGCUGCUAAUACCGCAUAAGCGCACAGUACCGCAUGGUACGGUGUGAAAAACUCCGGUGGUAUGAGAUGGACCCGCGUCUGAUUAGGUAGUUGGUGGGGUAACGGCCUACCAAGCCGACGAUCAGUAGCCGACCUGAGAGGGUGACCGGCCACAUUGGGACUGAGACACGGCCCAA
rnacentral:rRNA from 1 species